GCCCACCCCUCGCCCCCGCAGAACUCCACCCUCCCCCACCCCGGAGCCGCCUGGUUCCUCCUCCGCAGAACCCGCCUCCACUCACUCCUCCUCCGCCUCCAGCGCCACCUCGUAUCUCCUCAUUCCCGACAUGUCCUGGGCUCCGAACGUCUCCUGGGGAGCGGCAUGAUUGAAUCAGGGAUUCCCUAGCCCCAGGUCCCCUUCUCCGUCAUUCUCAGGACGAGGCUGCCCAGUUCUCAGGUUGUUGUGGUGGUAUUACUACUACUCAGCAAGAUUCUGGUUUUACUUCUCAUCUUGGGAGUUACCAUCAAGACGUUAGGUAUGGCUGUGUGACCCACUUUGGCCAAUGAAAUGUGAACAGAAAUGGCAUAUGUCACUUGUGGACAAAAACAUUUAAGCAAGAAUUUCCCUUGCUGUCUUCCUUGACUGGAGCGACCAUGGAAGCCUGUGUUGAGAUGAAGAGGCUGCCAACAGAUCAAAACACUUGAAAACUUGAGCAGCCACAUGGACUACAACUGUGCUGGAGACUUGCCUGGACCCACAGCAGGCUUGACAUUGCCCAGACUGGUCUCAAAUUCCUGGGCUGAAAUGAUCCUCCUGCUUUGGCCUCCCAAAGUGCAGGGAUUACAGUCAUGAACCACUGAGCCUGGCCCAUCUUGGCACUUUUGAUCGUGGACUUCUAACCUUCAGAACUGUGAGAAAAUAAAUUUCUGUUGUUUAAGCUACACAGUCUAUGGAAUUUUGUUAUGACUACCUGAACAGACUAAGAUGGAUGUGGUAAUUUCUAAGGCUCUGAGUUGUCUGUCUUUCGGGGGGGUGAAUUUUUUUUGGCUGUAUAAACAAAGGUGAUAUUAUGUUAGGUGAUACGCUCAAUUUUCUAAGAAGUCUA
rnacentral:lncRNA from 1 species